CAGUCGAACGAAGCACUCAGGAGCGAUUUCGGUCAAUCCUGUUUGACUGAGCGGUUGACGGGUGAGUAACGCGUGAGGAACCUGCCUUGCAGUGGGGAAUAACAGUUGGAAACGACUGCUAAUACCGCAUAAUGCAGAGAGACCGCAUGAUCUUUCUGCCAAAGAUUUAUCGCUGUAAGAUGGCCUCGCGUCUGAUUAGCUAGUUGGUGGGGUAACGGCCUACCAAGGCGACGAUCAGUAGCCGGACUGAGAGGUUGACCGGCCACAUUGGGACUGAGACACGGCCCAGACUCCUACGGGAGGCAGCAGUGGGGAAUAUUGGGCAAUGGGCGCAAGCCUGACCCAGCAACGCCGCGUGAAGGAAGAAGGCUUUCGGGUUGUAAACUUCUUUUAAGUGGGACGAUAAUGACGGUACCACUUGAAUAAGCUCCGGCUAACUACGUGCCAGCAGCCGCGGUAAUACGUAGGGAGCAAGCGUUAUCCGGAUUUACUGGGUGUAAAGGGCGUGUAGGCGGGACAGCAAGUCAGAUGUGAAAACUAUGGGCUCAACCCAUAGCCUGCAUUUGAAACUGUUGUUCUUGAGUGCUGGAGAGGCAAAUGGAACUCCUAGUGUAGCGGUGAAAUGCGUAGAUAUUAGGAAGAACACCAGUGGCGAAGGCGAUUUGCUGGACAGUAACUGACGCUGAUGCGCGAAAGUGUGGGGAGCAAACAGGAUUAGAUACCCCGGUAGUCCACACCGUAAACGAUGGAUACUAGGUGUGGGGGGUCUGACCCCCUCCGUGC
rnacentral:rRNA from 1 species